rnacentral:misc_RNA from 1 species
GAUGAAGAACGCAGCGAAAUGCGAUAAGUAGUGUGAAUUGCAGAAUUCAGUGAAUCAUCGAAUCUUUGAACGCACAUUGCGCCCCUUGGUAUUCCAUGGGGCAUGCCUGUUCGAGCGUCAUUUGUACCUUCAAGCUUUGCUUGGUGUUGGGUGUUUGUCUCGCCUUUGCGUGUAGACUCGCCUUAAAAUAAUUGGCAGCCGGCGUAUUGAUUUCGGAGCGCAGUACAUCUCGCGCUUUGCACUCAUAACGACAGCGUCCAAAAGUACAUUUUACACUCUUGACCUCGGAUCAGGUAGGGAUACCCGCCGAACUUAAGCAUAUCAAUAAGCGGAGGA